rnacentral:rRNA from 1 species
AGCCGGUGGCCUAACCUUAUGGAGGGAGCCGUCGAAGGUGGGACAGAUGAUUGGGGUGAAGUCGUAACAAGGUAGCCGUAUCGGAAGGUGCGGCUGGAUCACCUCCUUUCUAAGGAG